rnacentral:rRNA from 1 species
CUGGGCGUAAAGAGCUCGUAGGUGGUUUGUCGCGUCGUCUGUGAAAUCCCGGGGCUUAACUCCGGGUCUGCAGGCGAUACGGGCAUAACUAGAGUGCUGUAGGGGAGACUGGGAUUCCUGGUGUAGCGGUGAAAUGCGCAGAUAUCAGGAGGAACACCGAUGGCGAAGGCAGGUCUCUGGGCAGUAACUGACGCUGAGGAGCAAAAGCAUGGGGAGCAAACAGGAUUAGAUACCCUGGUAGUCCAUGCCGUAAACGGUGGGCGCUAGGUGUGGGGAUCUUUCUACGAUUUCCGUGCCGUAGCUAACGCAUUAAGCGCCCCGCCUGGGGAGUACGGCCGCAAGGCUAAAACUCAAAGGAAUUGACGGGGGCCCGCACAAGCGGCGGAGCAUGUGGAUUAAUUCGAUGCAACGCGAAGAACCUUACCUGGGCUUGACAUACACCAGAUCGGGCUAGAGAUAGUCCUUCCCUUGUGGCUGGUGUACAGGUGGUGCAUGGUUGUCGUCAGCUCGUGUCGUGAGAUGUUGGGUUAAGUCCCGCAACGAGCGCAACCCUUGUCUUGUGUUGCCAGCACGUAAUGGUGGGGACUCGCGAGAGACUGCCGGAGUUAACUCGGAGGAAGGUGGGGAUGACGUCAAAUCAUCAUGCCCCUUAUGUCCAGGGCUUCACACAUGCUACAAUGGUCGAUACAGUGGGUUGCGAUACCGCGAGGUGGAGCUAAUCCCUUAAAGUUGGCCUCAGUUCGGAUUGGAGUCUGCAACUCGACUCCAUGAAGUCGGAGUCGCUAGUAAUCGCAGAUC